rnacentral:rRNA from 1 species
ACGGAAGGCAGCAGUGAGGGAUAUUGCACAAUGGGGGAAACCCUGAUGCAGCAACGCCACGUGUGGGAAGAAGCAUUUCGGUGUGUAAACCACUGUCGUGAGGGAAUAAUGCUUGGCCUCGGCCAAGUUGAAUGUACCUCGAAAGGAAGCACCGGCAAACUUCGUGCCAGCAGCCGCGGUAAUACGAGGGGUGCAAGCGUUGUUCGGAAUCACUGGGCGUAAAGGGAGCGCAGGCGGAGAUGCAAGCAGUCUGUACAAUACCGGGGCCCAACCCCGGACCUGUAGACUGGACUGUUUCUCUUGGAUAGUUCAGGGGCAAGCGGAAUUCCUGGUGUAGCGGUGGAAUGCGUAGAGAUCAGGAAGAACACCGAUGGCGAAGGCAGCUUGCUGGGGACUUAUCGACGCUCAUGCUCGAAAGUGUGGGUAGCAAACAGGAUUAGAUACCCUGGUA